AUUGAACGCUGGCGGCAUGCCUAACACAUGCAAGUCGAACGGCAGCACGGGUGCUUGCACCUGGUGGCGAGUGGCGAACGGGGGAGUAAUACAUCGGAACAAGUCCUGUAGUGGGGGAGAGCCCGGCGAAAGCCGGAUUAAUACCGCAGACGAACUACGGGAGAAAGCGGGGGACCAACGGGCCUCGCGCCAUAGGGUUGGCCGAUGGCUGAUUAGCUAGUUGGUGGGGUAAAGGCAUACCAAGGCGACGAUCAGUAGCCGGUCUGAGAGGGCGACCAGCCACACUGGGACUGAGACACGGCCCAGACUCCUACGGGAGGCAGCAGUGGGGAAUUUUGGACAAUGGGCGAAAGCCUGAUCCAGCAAUGCCGCGUGUGUGAAGAAGGCCUUCGGGUUGUAAAGCACUUUUGUCCGGAAAGAAAUCCUUGGCCCUAAUACGGUCGGAGGAUGACGGUACCGGAAGAAUAAGCACCGGCUAACUACGUG
rnacentral:rRNA from 1 species